rnacentral:rRNA from 1 species
GGUUAAGCGACUAAGCGUACACGGUGGAUGCCCUGGCAGUCAGAGGCGAUGAAGGGCGUGCUAAUCUGCGAUAAGCGCCGGUAAGGUGAUAUGAACCGUUAUAACCGGCGAUACCCGAAUGGGGAAACCCAGUGUGACUCGUCACACUAUCAUUAACUGAAUCCAUAGGUUAAUGAGGCGAACCGGGGGAACUGAAACAUCUAAGUACCCCGAGGAAAAGAAAUCAACCGAGAUUCCCCCAGUAGCGGCGAGCGAACGGGGAGGAGCCCAGAGCCUGAAUCAGCAUGUGUGUUAGUGGAAGCGUCUGGAAAGGCGCGCGAUACAGGGUGACAGCCCCGUACACAAAAGCGCAUGUGCUGUGAGCUCGAUGAGUAGGGCGGGACACGUGGUAUCCUGUCUGAAUAUGGGGGGGACCAUCCUCCAAGGCUAAAUACUCCUGACUGACCGAUAGUGAACCAGUACCGUGAGGGAAAGGCGAAAAGAACCCCGGCGAGGGGAGUGAAAAAGAACCUGAAACCGUGUACGUACAAGCAGUGGGAGCACAGGUUUACCUGUGUGACUGCGUACCUUUUGUAUAAUGGGUCAGCGACUUAUAUUCUGUAGCAAGGUUAACCGCAUAGGGGAGCCGGAGGGAAACCGAGUCUUAAUUGGGCGUUAAGUUGCAGGGUAUAGACCCGAAACCCGGUGAUCUAGCCAUGGGCAGGUUGAAGGUUGGGUAACACUAACUGGAGGACCGAACCGACUAAUGUUGAAAAAUUAGCGGAUGACCUGUGGCUGGGGGUGAAAGGCCAAUCAAACCGGGAGAUAGCUGGUUCUCCCCGAAAGCUAUUUAGGUAGCGCCUCGUGAAUUCAUCUCCGGGGGUAGAGCACUGUUUCGGCUAGGGGGCCAUCCCGGCUUACCAACCCGAUGCAAACUGCGAAUACCGGAGAAUGUUAUCACGGGAGACACACGGCGGGUGCUAACGUCCGUCGUGAAGAGGGAAACAACCCAGACCGCCAGCUAAGGUCCCAAAGUCAUGGUUAAGUGGGAAACGAUGUGGGAAGGCCCAGACAGCCAGGAUGUUGGCUUAGAAGCAGCCAUCAUUUAAAGAAAGCGUAAUAGCUCACUGGUCGAGUCGGCCUGCGCGGAAGAUGUAACGGGGCUAAACCAUGCACCGAAGCUGCGGCAGCGAACGUAUCACUUAAAGCGAUUCAGCGGGUUACGAUUGACGGAGCGAAGCGACGUCAAAGCGUAUACAAAGUCGAGUCGGUUUAAGGAUACGUUCGUUGGGUAGGGGAGCGUUCUGUAAGCCUGCGAAGGUGGCCUGUGAGGGUUGCUGGAGGUAUCAGAAGUGCGAAUGCUGACAUAAGUAACGAUAAAGCGGGUGAAAAGCCCGCUCGCCGGAAGACCAAGGGUUCCUGUCCAACGUUAAUCGGGGCAGGGUGAGUCGACCCCUAAGGCGAGGCCGAAAGGCGUAGUCGAUGGGAAACGGGUUAAUAUUCCCGUACUUGGUGUUACUGCGAAGGGGGGACGGAGAAGGCUAUGUUGGCCGGGCGACGGUUGUCCCGGUUUAAGCGUGUAGGUGUGUGUUCCAGGUAAAUCCGGUUCACUUUAACACUGAGGCGUGAUGACGAGGCACUACGGUGCUGAAGCAACAAAU